CCCAACUUGUUAUAAUAAUAAGCACAUGUGAAUUGGACAUGACAAUCUGAGAACUCUUGAAAACAUUUUCUUUUGCUUUUAAAAUAUGUAUUAUUUAUUUUCGAGACAUGCUCUUGCUCUAUUGCCCAGGGUGGAGUGCAGUGGCAUGAUCACGGCUCACUGCAGCCUUGAACUCUGAGGCUAAAGCAAUCCUCCUACCUUAGCCUCUGGAGUAGCUGAGACCACAGGUGGGAACUACCAGGAGCGUUCAAUUUUUGUAUUUACUGUAGAGAUGCGGUAUUGCCAUGUUGACCAGGCUGGUCUUGAACCCCUGAACUCAAGUGAUCUGCCCGCCUCAGCCUUCCACAGUGCUGAGAUUAUAGGCAUGAGCCACUGUGCCCAGCAUUGAAAACCUCUUCUUAGUGGUAGGUAACACAGAAAUAAUGUUUUGGGUUUCUUAACUGUCCCUAAGAUAAAUGUCCCCAAGAUAGCCCCUGGGCUACUUUGAGAUGCACAGGGAAAGUCUCUCUUUAUCCCAGCUGGUGUACCUGUCCAGGUGUGAGAAACUUUAACAGACUCUGAUGAGGUUCUAUAAUGACGCACACACAGAACUCACACGGUUCACAGGGAUUUCAUGAGGUAGCUCCAUGAGGACAAUAUUGUGCUGUGAAUUUCUUGCUAGAACCAGAAACAGCAGGAGCCACUUCCUCAAUCGGGUCUUUUCUGGAUCAGUUUUCCAAUUUCCAUCCCAAUGGAGCCAUCGUCAGAUGACAUUGGAUUUUGGGAAGAACCCCAGGAUGCUUUUCCUGAUACAGCUCAGAUAUUUGUUGAGAAUCUGAAGUGUCUGCGGAUCCUGGAGUCGUUCUGCCUGGAACCUGAGGCACAUUGGUACAGCACUUUUAGUGUAUUAGUCCGUUCUCACAUUACUAUAAAGAACUACCUGUGCCUGGGCAAUUUAUAAAGAAAAGGCGUUUAGCUGAUAUGUGCUUCUGUAGGCUGGACCAGAAGCAUGGCCGGGGAGGCCUCAGGAAACUUACAACAAUCAUGGCGGAAGGGGAAGUAGGCACGUCUUCCUUGGCCGGAGCAAGAGGAACAGUGAAGUGAGAGUUGUCAUGCACUUUUAAACAACCAGGUCUCGUCAGAACUCACUAGCAUGCAAUAUUAUGACAACAGCAAGGGGGAAAUCCGUCCCCAUGAUCCAAUUACCUCCCACCAGGCCCCUCCUCCAAUAUUCAGGGUUACUACUGGACAUGAGAUUUGGGCAGGGACGUAGACCUAAACCAAUCGCUUAGCAUCUUCCAAAGAGUCCCUUAGAGGAAAGAAAUUCCUGUAGAUUCUAGAUAGUUUUGCUCUGCUCUUUCCCCUUUAAAAAAAAAAAAAAAAAAAA
rnacentral:lncRNA from 1 species